rnacentral:rRNA from 1 species
GACGAACGCUGGCGGCGUGCCUAAUACGUGCAAGUAGAACGCUGAAGGAGGAGCUUGCUUCUCUGGAUGAGUUGCGAACGGGUGAGUAACGCGUAGGUAACCUGCCUGGUAGCGGGGGAUAACUAUUGGAAACGAUAGCUAAUACCGCAUAAUAGCAGUUGUUGCAUGAUAACUGUUUGAAAGGUGCAAUUGCACCACUACCAGAUGGACCUGCGUUGUAUUAGCUAGUUGGUGGGGUAACGGCUCACCAAGGCGACGAUACAUAGCCGACCUGAGAGGGUGAUCGGCCACACUGGGACUGAGACACGGCCCAGACUCCUACGGGAGGCAGCAGUAGGGAAUCUUCGGCAAUGGACGGAAGUCUGACCGAGCAACGCCGCGUGAGUGAAGAAGGUUUUCGGAUCGUAAAGCUCUGUUGUAAGAGAAGAACGAGUGCGAGAGUGGAAAGUUCACACUGUGACGGUAUCUUACCAGAAAGGGACGGCUAACUACGUG